UACGUAGGGUGCAAGCGUUAAUCGGAAUUACUGGGCGUAAAGCGUGCGCAGGCGGUUUUGUAAGUCUGUCGUGAAAUCCCCGGGCUUAACCUGGGAAUUGCGAUGGAGACUGCAAGGCUAGAAUCUGGCAGAGGGGGGUAGAAUUCCACGUGUAGCAGUGAAAUGCGUAGAGAUGUGGAGGAACACCGAUGGCGAAGGCAGCCCCCUGGGCCAAUACUGACGCUCAUGCACGAAAGCGUGGGGAGCAAACAGG
rnacentral:rRNA from 1 species